rnacentral:rRNA from 1 species
UGCAGUCGAACGGUAACAGGAAGCAAGCUUGCUGCUUUGCUGACGAGUGGCGGACGGGUGAGUAAUGUCUGGGAAACUGCCUGAUGGAGGGGGAUAACUACUGGAAACGGUAGCUAAUACCGCAUAACGUCGCAAGACCAAAGAGGGGGACCUUCGGGCCUCUUGCCAUCGGAUGUGCCCAGAUGGGAUUAGCUUGUUGGUGGGGUAACGGCUCACCUAGGCGACGAUCCCUAGCUGGUCUGAGAGGAUGACCAGCCACACUGGAACUGAGACACGGUCCAGACUCCUACGGGAGGCAGCAGUGGGGAAUAUUGCACAAUGGGCGCAAGCCUGAUGCAGCCAUGCCGCGUGUAUGAAGAAGGCCUUCGGGUUGUAAAGUACUUUCAGCGGGGAGGAAGGGAGUAAAGUUAAUACCUUUGCUCAUUGACGUUACCCGCAGAAGAAGCACCGGCUAACUCCGUGCCAGCAGCCGCGGUAAUACGGAGGGUGCAAGCGUUAAUCGGAAUUACUGGGCGUAAAGCGCACGCAGGCGGUUUGUUAAGUCAGAUGUGAAAUCCCCGGGCUCAACCUGGGAACUGCAUCUGAUACUGGCAAGCUUGAGUCUCGUAGAGGGGGGUAGAAUUCCAGGUGUAGCGGUGAAAUGCGUAGAGAUCUGGAGGAAUACCGGUGGCGAAGGCGGCCCCCUGGACGAAGACUGACGCUCAGGUGCGAAAGCGUGGGGAGCAGACAGGAUUAGAUACCCUGGUAGUCCACGCCGUAAACGAUGUCGACUUGGAGGUUGUGCCCUUGAGGCGUGGCUUCCGGAGCUAACGCGUUAAGUCGACCGCCUGGGGAGUACGGCCGCAAGGUUAAAACUCAAAUGAAUUGACGGGGGCCCGCACAAGCGGUGGAGCAUGUGGUUUAAUUCGAUGCAACGCGAAGAACCUUACCUGGUCUUGACAUCCACAGAAUUUUCCAGAGAUGGAUUGGUGCCUUCGGGAACUGUGAAACAGGUGCU